AUAGCAAAUGGCGGCAAGUAGCAAUAACGAAACACGUUUCGCUUCGUCCUCACUCUUUCAAACCCUAAUUCUAUCAUUUCAUCUUCCCCUUUCUCUCUACCAAAUUCUCCCCAAAUUUUCGUUACCACCUUCUAUGGAUGCUACGAAAAUCUCUGGCAAUUAGAAAUCGAAGAUCUCACACUCAACCUCCCGGUAAAUACCACUAGCUGCAGGAUUUCGCAUCCUAAACAGAAAAGUGUUGUACUUUUUUUCAUUCCUUGCGGUGUGCUUGUUUCACAUUUGAGAAAGAAUAGUUGACGAUACAAAAGUAGGCUAGUUGUUGAUCUCCUGUCACUCUGGCGGCAAUCCCAUCUGGUGUUGGGACAGUUUGAUCUUCAAUAUUAGCUUUUGCUGCCGGCUCACAUUCUUCAAUUUUGGUGUUGGGAUGGAAGCAGACUGUGGGUUCCAGGCAACAAGGGCCUUAGACUGGUCACCUUCAUGUUCUUGCAUGUGGUUCUGUAAACUCUUCGCAAACACUUCGAGAUUGACAUUGAUAGUAGGAAUUUCAUCAGGAUCCUCCCAAAAGAAGUCCUCAAUGUCACUUUCUAAUGCUUCCAUACUCUGUUCUGGUGUUGCUGGUUCUUCAAUGAUUGGCUCACACGGCCUACUUUGAGGACACACUUCAAUGCUCGUGUUGUUCCCAGGGAGAGGUAGGAUCACUGGGUUUAAAUUUGGAGGGUUUCUCUCAUCUGCAAUGGGAACAGGCAUGCUCACAAUUUGCUUCUCUUCUGGUCCUGGCAAGGCAAGCCGUGCACUGUACUGAAAGAGUUAGUCGUCUUAUAAAAAUAUGAUAAGUCUGUCAUGCUCUUCAUACUAGAAUACUGUCGCUGAAAGUAACAACUCAUUAAAUUGACAUGUCUAUUUUUACACGUUAGUCUUUGUCCUUUUAAACUGGCUAUGACUUUAAAGUUUCAGAUGCAAUUUUAAAGACUUUUGUGACCUGAUUGUUUUGUGUGAAAGAAAAUGAAAUUGGUUGAUAUGUAGCUUCAAAUGCAUUUUGCAUUAAGUUGAUUACAAUAUGUAAUGCAACUGACAUACUGAGUAACUAACCUUGCAAAAGCACUGGCAAAAUGUCUGCACUCUGCUCGCAUUGGGCAUGCAUUGCAAUUUGGUUUUUUCUUUGUGCAGAAAACCUACAUAUUUGGAACAUGAAUUACUUUUAACCUCUUCUCUCAAGGUUGUGGAGCAAAGCUAGUUCCAAAACUAUGUUUUUUGUGAAUACCAUAUUAAAUGUAGAAGGAAGUUACGCAUACCUUCCCAAAUGUAAUCAUCUGAGUUUAGGGAAGUUAUGAUAUUACAAGGUUCUUUGAUCAAGUUUGCACAAUCUUGGCCAAAGAUACUUUUGAAUAGACUCUAGCACUGGAUACCUGCACGAAACGUUUUUCAGGAAGUGGUUGGAGAGGAACCCAUCCAAGUCUAACGGCUAUCCUUCCAACAUUGGUGUCAACCUUCGAGGCAUGAGCAUGGCAAUGUUAUUGCAAGGGUUUUUAAUGAUUUGCAUACUAGUAAGCAGGAAACGGAUUUCAAAUUAGCCUUACUGGGAAAGCAAGAUGAUGAAGUGUCAGAAGCCGUACACAUUCCACACUUUUUAACCCCAACCCUCUCAUGCUUAGCAGAUAGUCCCUGCAUUUGAAAUUGUAUAUGGAAGCCAGUAGAAAGGACAUGGUUAAUUUGCAUUAUAUUCUGUUAUUUGCUGGCAGUGUCUGCUAAAUAGAAACUUUCUUAGAAGGACAUUGGUUAAUGGUGAUAAAAGAUUAUGGCUUACUUUACUUUAUCAGGGGGAGCAUGUCUUAACCAUUCAAGGUCAAUGCUUCCAUGUUCUCUAACCAGUCUAUUCAGGAAUUCCUGACAUAACAUAGAAGUUCUAUAGCUCAGUAUUAUUUUAUUUUAGUUAAAAAUCAGUGUUAUACAAACUUGAGUGGUUGAAUAUACCUUGAUUCGUUCAGCUAGCAUGUUGUUCAUUCCUCGCUCUUUGAUUGCAUCAGAUAUCUCUUUAACAGAGGCACAUCUUAUUGCUUCAUAGUCCAGUGAAUCCAUAGUAUCCGUGUUUCUUUCUAUCUUUGUCCCAUUUUCUUCUACCACCUUCCUUAGUUUGUCCCAGUCAUCUUCAUGCUUUUUGUUGGCCUCAGGCUUCGUUUUUCUUUCUUUUCGAACCUUGAGUUUUCCCUCUUUGUCUUUUUGGCCUGGAGAAACUCGCUUCUUUGCCUUCUUUUCAGCCUGAAUAUUAUCAGAGCAUACCUGUCUGGUUUCCGUGGAUAUAAUUUUUUCACUGUCAAAAACUUCUUCUGCACAUGUUAAUAUAUUGCUGUGAUCGUUCCCUGCAUGAUCUUCGCCACAUAUGUGAGAAUUAUUUGAUGAUUCUGCACAUGUCUUGCCCUCUGAUUGGAAGGUUUUCUGACUCACAAGGUGAUGGUUAGGUGAAGGUUGAUUAUAGUUUGUAUGAGAUCUAGAUUGCGAAGUAUCUCCUAUAAAGGCUGAGUACUUGCUUAAUGGUCUGUAAGAGUUCAUAGUUGGUAACUCUGGAGACCCCAAUGUUCCAUUUCCAUGCUGCAUUUCAGUGGGUUUAUCCACACUCUCUCCAGUUCCGUUGAUGCCAAAUCUCAUAUAACUGUUGUCUUGAAAUUCAUUGUGUAUAGAAAGAGUGUCAGGCCAAGAAAACUCCUCACCAUUAAUUUGAAAAGUAUCCAGACCUUGUAUGUACGAGUAAUAUGACUCAUAGUUUGUUGAAGGGGCUCCUGGCGGCUGUUGCUUUUUUGGAUUUCCAAAGCUGCAGGGAGGGCCAGAUGCCGAGUGGAAACUGGGAAUAUCAUUUCUGCCUACUCUUGAACUUUGUUUCACAUCAUGUUGCUGUAGCUUUCCAUUGGUUCUCUCUUCAAUUAGUGAUACCCCGUUUACACUAUGGUAAAAUUCCUGAAAGAUAGUGGUUAUUCCUACCUCUUGAGAAUUUGUUGAAGUUAAGAACUGAGCCUUGCUGUGUUCACACCCACUGUUACGUAAUUCUGAUUCUGAAUUGGAUCUAAUUCUGGUAUCUUGAGUAACUGAGGAAUCAAGAGAAUCUUGUGAUGAUAAGAAUUCUUCCUCUGAGCUAUGAUUAUUUGGCUUUAUUAGGCUCUCAUUUAUCCUUGAAGACUUACUGUCUCUCAAAAGAUCUUCUGUAUGACGUGGCAUCUCAAAGUCAAUAUAGUAGGUUGGUGGAUUUAAUUUUCCUCUUUCAUAUGAUCCUAUUAUGCCAGCUUGAUUUUCUAUGCAAUGUUGUGGCUCUUCAACCAAUGUGUGUGUGACAACAUCACUACUUUUUGACUUGAGAGGAAACCUUGCUGCUAGAGACAUAAAGGCAGAGCUGCAAAGAGAGGAAUGAAACAUAAUGUUUCAGUGGGGUUUGCACAACAUCUUGUACUAGCAUUGACAGUUUUGGCAAAACAACCUGAGUGGUGAAAAGUAGAAAACACCUUAUGCUAAUAUAUGAGCUUACCUUGAAAGAUGGUCUGAGACAUUCUGAGUGAGAAAAACACCAAUCACAGAAUCAACAACAGAUCCUUUCCACUUUGAAAAACGUCUAUCUCCUGCAUAGUAGAGUUUCUGACAAGGUUAUGGUUGAUUCCCUCUCCGAGAAGAAAGGAUUUGAUUCCUUUCCUUUCAAUAGAAGUGGAAUAUCAUCUGUGUUACUGGGUUGUCGGUGUCCUACGGCAAGGUCAUCCUGCUGACUGAUCAU